GAAAGAGUUCAGUUUAGAGUUUAAAACCCUAAUGCUGACUAAAGAGAAUGUUCAGUUUAUGGUUUAAAACCCUAAUACUGACUGGCUGGAAAGAGUUCAGUUUAGGGUUUAAAACCCUAAUGCUGACUGAAUGGAAAAAGUUCAGUUUAGGGUUUAAAACCUUAAUGUUGACUAAAGGAAAGAGUUCAGUUUAGGGUUUAAAACCCUAAUGUUGACUGAAUGUAAAAGUUCAGUUUAGGGUUUAAAACCCUAAUGCUGACUGAAGGAAAGAGUUCAGUUUAGGGUUUAAAACCCUAAUGCUGACUAAAGGGAAAGUUCAGUUUAGGGUUUAAAACCCUAAUACUGACUGGCUGGAAAGAGUUCAGUUUAGGGUUUAAAACCCUAAUGCUGACUGAAUGGAAAAAGUUCAGUUUAGGGUUUAAAACCCUAAUACUGACUGAAGGAAAGAGUUCAGUUUAGGGUUUAAAACCCUAAUGCUGACCUAAGGAAAGAGUUCAGUUUAGGGUUUAAAACCCUAAUGCUGACUGAAUGGAAAAAGUUCAGUUUAGGGUUUAAAACCCUAAUGCUGACUGAAGGAAAGAGUUCAGUUUAGGGUUUAAAACCCUAAUGCUGACUGGCUGGAAAGAGUUCAGUUUAGGGUUUAAAACACUAAUGCUGACUAAAGGGAAAGUUCAGUUUAGGGUUUAAAACCCUAAUACUGACUGGCUGGAAAGAGUUCAGUUUAGGGUUUAAAACCCUAAUUCUGACUAAAGGAAAAGUUCAGUUUAGGGUUUAAAACCCUAAUACUGACUGGCUGGAAAGAGUUCAGUUUAGGGUUUAAAACCCUAAUGCUGACUGAAUGGAAAAAGUUCAGUUUAGGGUUUAAAACCCUAAUACUGACUGAAAGAAAGAGUUCAGUUUAGGGUUUAAAACCCUAAUGCUGACUAAAGGGAAAAAGUUCAGUUUAGGGUUUUAAAACCCUAAUGCUGACUAAAGGAAAGAGUUCAGUUUAGGGUUUAAAACCCUAAUGCUGACUGAAUGGGAAAAAGUUCAGUUUAGGGUUUAAAACCCUAAUGCUGACUAAAAGGAAAGUUCAGUUUAGGGUUUAAAACCCUAAUACUGAUUGGAUUGAAAGAGUUUAGUUUAGGGUUUAAAACCCUAAUGCUGACUGAAUGGAAAAAGUUCAGUUUAGGGUUUAAAACCCUAAUACUGACUGAAGGAAAGAGUUCAGUUUAGAGUUUUAAGCCCUAAUGCUGACUAAAGGGAAAGUUUAGUUUAGAGUUUAAAACCCUAAUACUGACUGGCUGGAAAGAGUUCAGUUUAGGGUUUAAAAUCCUAAUGCUGACUAAAGGGAAAGUUCAGUUUAGGGUUUAAAACCCUAAUGCUGACU
rnacentral:lncRNA from 1 species